rnacentral:rRNA from 1 species
UCCAGACUCCUACGGGAGGCAGCAGUGGGGAAUAUUGCACAAUGGGGGAAACCCUGAUGCAGCGACGCCGCGUGAGCGAAGAAGUAUUUCGGUAUGUAAAGCUCUAUCAGCAGGGAAGAAAAAAAUGACGGUACCUGAGUAAGAAGCACCGGCUAAAUACGUGCCAGCAGCCGCGGUAAUACGUAUGGUGCAAGCGUUAUCCGGAUUUACUGGGUGUAAAGGGAGCGUAGGCGGCGCGUUAAGUCUGAUGUGAAAACCCGAGGCUCAACCACGGGAGUGCAUUGGAAACUGGCGGGCUGGAGUGCCGGAGAGGUAAGCGGAAUUCCUAGUGUAGCGGUGAAAUGCGUAGAUAUUAGGAGGAACACCAGUGGCGAAGGCGGCUUACUGGACGGCAACUGACGCUGAGGCUCGAAAGCGUGGGGAGCAAACAGGAUUAGAUACCCGCGUACGA